AACGAACGCUGGCGGCAGGCUUAACACAUGCAAGUCGAACGCUCACUUCGGUGAGAGUGGCAGACGGGUGAGUAACGCGUGGGAAUAUACCUAUCAGUACGGAACAACAGUUGGAAACGACUGCUAAUACCGUAUACGCCCUUCGGGGGAAAGAUUCAUCGCUGAUAGAUUAGCCCGCGUUAGAUUAGCUAGUUGGUGGGGUAAAGGCCUACCAAGGCGACGAUCUAUAGCUGGUCUGAGAGGAUGAUCAGCCACACUGGGACUGAGACACGGCCCAGACUCCUACGGGAGGCAGCAGUGGGGAAUAUUGGACAAUGGGCGCAAGCCUGAUCCAGCCAUGCCGCGUGUGUGAUGAAGGCCUUAGGGUUGUAAAGCACUUUCAACGGUGAAGAUAAUGACGGUAACCGUAGAAGAAG
rnacentral:rRNA from 1 species